GCUUAUCGAGGAAAGUUGAUAUAUAAUCGGGCCUGAGGUUCUGUAAUGAACAUUAAAUUUUAAUACCGUUAUUGUGACACUAAUCAAACAUUAGAUAGGCUAAAGGAUCAACUUGUUUAUACAUAUGGUGAAAGAGGGUGUUUGGACAUGCACUUUGAAACUGAUUAUCUGAUGCUGAUUGCUGAAUAAUCCACUAUCAUAGUGGUUGGAUUUUCUUCAAACCUUUUGAAGCUGUGAAAAAAUAGUUGUACACUUGUACUAGUGUUUCACAAAUGAAGUAAUAGAUAAAACGACCAAAAUGGACCUUUUUAUAUGUUGUUGAAAUUGUUGACAUAACCUCUGUGGUGCUUUCC
rnacentral:lncRNA from 1 species